rnacentral:rRNA from 1 species
UACAGAGGGGGCAAGCGUUGUUCGGAAUUACUGGGCGUAAAGGGCGCGUAGGCGGCCUGCUAAGUCGAACGUGAAAUCCCUGGGCUCAACCCAGGAACUGCGUCCGAUACUGGUUGGCUUGAAUCCGGGAGAGGGACGUGGAAUUCCAGGUGUAGCGGUGAAAUGCGUAGAGAUCGUGAGGAAGACCAGUGGCGAAGGCGGGUCUCUGGACAGUUCCUGACACUGAGGCACGAAGGCCAGGGGAGCAAACGGG